rnacentral:rRNA from 1 species
UACGAAGGGGGCUAGCGUUGCUCGGAAUUACUGGGCGUAAAGCGCACGUAGGCGGCUUUCUAAGUCGGGGGUGAAAUCCUGGAGCUCAACUCCAGAACUGCCUUCGAUACUGGAGAGCUCGAGUCCGGGAGAGGUGAGUGGAACUGCGAGUGUAGAGGUGAAAUUCGUAGAAUAUUCGCAAGAACACCAGUGGCGAAGGCGGCUCACUGGCCCGGUACUGACGCUGAGGUGCGAAAGCGUGGGGAGCAAACAGG